rnacentral:rRNA from 1 species
UACGUAGGGUGCGAGCGUUGUCCGGAAUUAUUGGGCGUAAAGAGCUUGUAGGCGGUCUGUCGCGUCUGCUGUGAAAAUCCGGGGCUCAACCCCGGACUUGCAGUGGGUACGGGCAGACUAGAGUGUGGUAGGGGAGACUGGAAUUCCUGGUGUAGCGGUGGAAUGCGCAGAUAUCAGGAGGAACACCGGUGGCGAAGGCGGGUCUCUGGGCCGAUACUGACGCUGAGGAGCGAAAGCGUGGGGAGCGAACAGG